rnacentral:rRNA from 1 species
UACGAAGGGGGCUAGCGUUGCUCGGAAUCACUGGGCGUAAAGCGCACGUAGGCGGAUCUUUAAGUCAGGGGUGAAAUCCUGGAGCUCAACUCCAGAACUGCCUUUGAUACUGGGUGUCUUGAGUGUGGAAGAGGUAAGUGGAAUUGCGAGUGUAGAGGUGAAAUUCGUAGAUAUUCGCAGGAACACCAGUGGCGAAGGCGGCUUACUGGUCCAUUACUGACGCUGAUGCGCGAAAGCCAGGGGAGCGAACGGG